rnacentral:lncRNA from 10 species
GUGCGUUCCUGACAGUGUCUGUCGGGAGUCGGGAGUCUCCACGCCGUGUGACCUACAUGCUAAGAGGUAACAAGAUGGUGAAUUUCCAUUUAUGAAGAAAAGCUUUUUAAAUAUCAUUGAAAACGGCUGUGUACAAACCUACCACACAGCUUUUUCAGAUGCUUCAUGAAUGCACUGAAGUCCACGCUGGGGUCCAGCUUAAAUAGCAGGGAUGCGUAGCCCUGCACAGCGUCAUGGAAGCAGGCCACCCGGUCCACAUCAAUGUCAUUCUCCCCCGCUGAGAUGGAGGCCAGGUCCACAAACACCUUCAGCUCAUUGAUGCCUGGGGAAGAGAAGAGGGGAGUUCAGCGUGGGACUAUUCCACGAUAGCACAAGACUCGGUCUUGGGCAGUAAUCCUUACUGAAGCUGAAAUGGAUAUUUCAUGAAUUUUUAAGGUUCUGUCCACUUUCUGCUUUCAGUAAGAGUCCGGAACACCUAAUCUUUUGUAGUUUUUUUUUUUUUUUUUGAGACAGAGUCUCACUCUGUCACCCAAGCUGGAGUGAAGUGACAUGAUCUCGGCUCACUGCAACCUCCACCUUCCAGGUUUAAGUGAUUCUCUUGCCUCAGCCUCCCGUGUAGCUGGGAUUACUGGCGCCCACCACCACGCCUGGCUAAUUUUUUGUAUUUUUAGUAGAGACCAGGUUUCACCAUGUUGGUCAGGCUGGUCUCCAACUCCUGACCUCAGGUGAUCCACACGACUUGGCCUCCCAAAGUGCUGAGAUUACAGGUGUGAGCCACCACGCCCAGCCUGUACUGUCUGUUAAUAGCACUAAACGAUAUCUUGCCGUUCCUGAGCAAUUUCAAUGUCCCAGGCACUGUACUGCACUUCUGUGUAUGCUCUUUCCUUCAAUCCACACAACAUUACCAUUUAAAC